AGGAUGUGCUUGAACAGGAUCUGUUCUAUAGGAUCGUACCUCUGUAUCCUUAACUUCUAAGGAGACAGGAAUCCAAACCUGGUGGUUGAAGCAAAGCCAUGCGAUCAGAGCGUGAUUAACGGCUGGUGUUCUUUGGGUCUACUGUGGCUGUCGAUGAUCGUUCUCAGCUUGGUUCUCCCAAGUUGGGGGUGGUGGUCGCUUGGUUGUCUGACAGGUU